rnacentral:hammerhead_ribozyme from 1 species
CCACUGCUGAGGAGUCCAAUACUAGGACGAAACGGUCGUUCAGUGC